AAAGACAUGCUGCAGUCAGAGGAGAAUGGCCAAACUGGUUCAAGCUGAUAGAAAGGCAACAGUAACACAAAUAGCCAAUCAUAACAACCAAGGUAUG